AGAUUGAACGCUGGCGGCAUGCCUAACACAUGCAAGUCGAACGGGAGUAGCAAUACUCUAGUGGCGGACGGGUGAGGAAUACGUAGGAAUUUGCCCUUAAGUGGGGGAUAACCCGGGGAAACCCGGAUUAAUACCACAUGACCUCGAAAGAGCAAAGUGGGGGAUCGCAAGACCUCACGCUUUUGGAGAAGCCUACGUCGGAUUAGCUAGUUGGUGAGGUAAUGGCUCACCAAGGCGACGAUCCGUAACUGGUCUGAGAGGAUGAUCAGUCACACCGGAACUGAGACACGGUCCGGACUCCGUACGGGAGGCAGCAGGUGGGGAAUAUUGGACAAUGGGCGCAAGCCUGAUCCAGCAAUGCCGCGUGUGUGAAGAACGGUCCUUCGGUUAGUAAAGCUAACGUUUAAAGUUAGGGAAAGUAAAAAACCGUCGACGUACUAAACAC
rnacentral:rRNA from 1 species